ACGCCGCGACGGGCUGUCGAGAGCCGCGUCUGCGGCGCUGUGAGACGGCCUGACGGCGU
rnacentral:ncRNA from 1 species